rnacentral:lncRNA from 1 species
GAGUCUCCUUUUCCCCAGGCUAAACAUCCCCAGAUCCCUCAGCCGCUCCUCACAGACCCUGGUGCUCCAGAUCCUCCCCCAGCUCCGUUGCCCUUCUCUGGACACGCUCCAGCUUCUCAGUGUCAUUUCUGAAUUCGAGGACCCAGAACCUGGCACAGCACUCGAGGCGUGGCCUCAGCAGUGCCGAGUACAGGGGCACGGUCACUGCCCUGGUCCUGCUGGCCACACCACUGCUGAUGCAAGCCAGGGAAGACUGUCCGGGCACUGCGGCGCAGCGUGGGAGGACCUGUGGACAGAGAGGGCAGCAAAAGCGUUCACCAAGGCAGAUGUGGGAGACAGAUAAUGAGUGAAGAGAGGCCUUAUUACACUGCUUCCAGGACAAUUACAGAGCAAGAGCUUUCAUUAUAAAGGGAAUUACUUUCUUCUGAGAGAAGUGAAGUCAAACAUUUUCUUCCUCGGGCACCCCUUCUUGUAGCAAAGACUGUGGAUCUCCCUCAUGUGCAGCACAAGACUGUGGUUUGCUCUCCUGCCAGAUGCCCAGCUGCUUGGUUUGAUUUGUGUGCUUCAACCAGUAGUACAACUAGUGCAUGAUUUCUCAGAAUUAUUCGUUUCAUUAAUACAACUCUAGCACUGAAAAAGUCCAGACCAUCUUACGAGCCUCAUCUCAAACAGCACCUGUUGGAGGCUUCCUGUUACCUGAGGGAGGGAAGAAGCACUCCCUAAAGUACUAGCUCUUUCCAUGUCUGGAAUUUGGAGGUAUCCACCUUCAUGAACAUGACAGAGUCUGUUCGUGUAAAAACCUCGCCUGAGGCAUUUGAGGAGAUCCUGCUACAGCCUAAAGUUUUUCUAUCCCGAUGCCAGUCAUCUUUCAGGAUUCCAUUUGUGCCAUACACAACAGAUGAAUCACUUCUAGUUGUGUAUCUUGAUAAUCUCACCUGCCAUCACUGAUACAAAGCUUGCCACAAUGCCAAGAACUGAGAGCAGUGAAACGGCACUGGAACACAUAAAUGUCAGAAGAUAUGCUUGAAGCGACUGAAUGAUUACUGAGAUAAGGAAAGAGUGGGAGCUGGGACAACAUUUCAAAGAGACAGGAGACUAUUAUAUAAGCCUCAAAUGUGCCAGGAUGUGCAUCUUCAAACUGGAAGUUAAGACGUGAGAAAAUGGAAGACUGAGACAU